rnacentral:sRNA from 1 species
UACCCUUGCUUCUUACGACCUUAACUGU